rnacentral:rRNA from 1 species
ACACAUGCAGUCGAACGGUGAAGCCAAGCUUGCUUGNUGGAUCAGUGGCGAACGGGUGAGUAACACGUGAGCAACCUGCCCUGGACUCUGGGAUAAGCGCUGGAAACGGCGUCUAAUACUGGAUAUGAGACGUGAUCGCAUGGUCGUGUUUGGAAAGAUUUUUCGGUCUGGGAUGGGCUCGCGGCCUAUCAGCUUGUUGGUGAGGUAAUGGCUCACCAAGGCGUCGACGGGUAGCCGGCCUGAGAGGGUGACCGGCCACACUGGGACUGAGACACGGCCCAGACUCCUACGGGAGGCAGCAGUGGGGAAUAUUGCACAAUGGGCG